rnacentral:rRNA from 1 species
AACGAACGCUGGCGGCAUGCCUAACACAUGCAAGUCGAACGAGACCUUCGGGUCUAGUGGCGCACGGGUGCGUAACGCGUGGGAACCUGCCCUUAGGUUCGGAAUAACUCCCCGAAAGGGGUGCUAAUACCGGAUAAUGUCUUCGGACCAAAGAUUUAUCGCCUUUGGUUGGGCCCGCGUUGGAUUAGCUAGUUGGUAGGGUAAAAGCCUACCAAGGCGACGAUCCAUAGCUGGUCUGAGAGGAUGAUCAGCCACACUGGGACUGAGACACGGCCCAGACUCCUACGGGAGGCAGCAGUGGGGAAUAUUGGACAAUGGGCGAAAGCCUGAUCCAGCACUGCCGCGUGAGUGAUGAAGGCCUUAGGGUUGUAAAGCUCUUUUACCCGGGAUGAUAAUGACAGUACCGGGAGAAUAAGCUCCGGCUAACUCCGU